UACAGAGGGGGCAAGCGUUGUUCGGAAUUACUGGGCGUAAAGCGCACGUAGGCGGUCAGGCAAGUCGGGUGUGAAAGCCCUGGGCUCAACCUGGGAAUUGCAUUCGAAACUAUCUGACUCGAGUAUGGGAGAGGGAAGCGGAAUUUCCGGUGUAGCGGUGAAAUGCGUAGAUAUCGGAAGGAACACCAGUGGCGAAGGCGGCUUCCUGGACUAAUACUGACGCUGAGGUGCGAAAGCGUGGGGAGCAAACAGG
rnacentral:rRNA from 1 species